GAAAUGCGAUAAGUAGUGUGAAUUGCAGAAUUCAGUGAAUCAUCGAAUCUUUGAACGCACAUUGCGCCCUUUGGUAUUCCUUAGGGCAUGCCUGUUCGAGCGUCAUCUAAACCUUCAAGCCCUGCUUGGUGUUGGGUGCCUGUCCCGCCUCCGCGCGCGGACUCACCUCAAAUCCAUUGGCGGCCCCCGCGUCGGCCACGAGCGCAGCAGAAACGCGAACUCGUGAGCCCGUCCGGGCGGCUCCCAGAAGCUACACCCACCCAGUUUGACCUCGGAUCAGGUAGGGAUACCCUCUGAACUUCAGC
rnacentral:misc_RNA from 1 species